UACGUAGGGAGCAAGCGUUGUCCGGAAUCAUUGGGCGUAAAGCGCGCGUAGGUGGCCUCAUAAGUCCGCUGUGAAAGUCAAAGGCUCAACCUUUGAAAGCCGGUGGAUACUGUGAGGCUAGAGUACGGAAGAGGCGAGUGGAAUUCCUGGUGUAGCGGUGAAAUGCGUAGAUAUCAGGAGGAACACCUGCGGUGUAGACGGCUUUCUGGACCAUUGCUGACGCUGAGACACGAAAGCGUGGGUAGCAAACAGG
rnacentral:rRNA from 1 species